GCAAGUCGAACGGAAACGACAGAAGCUUGCUCCUGGGCGUCGAGUGGCGGACGGGUGAGUAAUGCAUAGGAAUCUGCCCAUGUAGUGGGGGACAACCUGGGGAAACUCAGGCUAAUACCGCAUGAGCCCUUCGGGGAAAGCAGGGGUUCAUCGGACUUGCGCUAAUGGAUGAGCCUAUGCCUGAUUAGCUUGAUGGUGGGGUAACGGCCUACCAAGGCGACGAUCAGUAGCUGGUCUGAGAGGACGAUC
rnacentral:rRNA from 1 species